AAGUCGUAACAAGGUUUCCGUAGGUGAACCUGCGGAAGGAUCAUUAACGUAUCUGCCCUCGGGGGCGAGGGCGGCCCUGCUCCGGCACUCGCCGCGCAGCGGGUCACCUCCCCCCGAUCACUACAAACCCACUGUGCACCUUUCGCGGUGGAGGGUGCGGCGCGAGCCUGCCCGAAGCCGCGGUCUCACAGACUCGUCCUGGAAUGUCUUGCGGACUCGUUCCGCCCAUAAACAAAACAACUUUCAACAACGGAUCUCUUGGCUCUCGCAUCGAUGAAGAACGCAGCGAAAUGCGAUAAGUAAUGUGAAUUGCAGAAUUCAGUGAAUCAUCGAAUCUUUGAACGCACCUUGCGCUCCUUGGUAUUCCGAGGAGCAUGCCUGUUUGAGUGUCUUGAAGUCAUCAACCCUCUCCGCUUUUUCGGCGGGGUCGUGUUGGACGUGAGGGCUUUGCCGCCGAAGGGCGGCUCCCUCCAAAUGCUUCGGUUGGGCCUGUGGGUCGAACUCGACUGGGCGUUGUACCAUCCUCGCUCGACAGAGUCGCUCCCCCGUUGCGCUCGGCUUUGACCGCCUGCAGAGUGGCGGUCAACACCAUUUGAAAUCUGACCCCAAAUCAGGUAGGACUACCCGCUGAACUUAA
rnacentral:rRNA from 1 species